rnacentral:rRNA from 1 species
GUGUCAGCCGCCGCGGUAAUACAGAGGUCCCAAGCGUUGUUCGGAUUCACUGGGCGUAAAGGGUGCGUAGGUGGUGAGGUAAGUCGGAUGUGAAAUCUCCAGGCUCAACCUGGAAAUGGCAUUGGAAACUACCUUGCUAGAGGGUUUGAGGGGGGACUGGAAUACUUGGUGUAGCAGUGAAAUGCGUAGAUAUCAAGUGGAACACCAGUGGCGAAGGCGAGUCCCUGGAAAAUACCUGACACUGAGGCACGAAAGCUAGGGGAGCAAACAGGAUUAGAUACCCCCGUAGUCC